rnacentral:rRNA from 1 species
UACGUAGGGUGCGAGCGUUGUCCGGAUUUAAUUGGGCGUAAAGAGCUCGUAGGCGGUUUGUCGACGUCGGGCCGUGAAAUCUCCACGCUUAACGUGGAGCGUGCGGUCGAUACGGGCAGACUUGAGUUCGGUAGGGGAGACUGGAAUUCCUGGAUGUAGCGGUGAAAUGCGCAGAUAUCAGGAGGAACACCCGGUGGCGAAGGCGGGUCUCUGGGCCGAUACUGACGCUGAGGAAGCGAAAGCGUGGGGAGCGAACAGG